UGCUGCAUGUGUCGUCAGCUCGUGCCGUGAGGUGUCGGGUUAAGUCCCAUAACGAGCGCACCCUAUCAUUAGUUGCCAUCAGGUCAAGCUGGGGACUCUAAUGAAACUGCCUACGCAAGUAGUGAGGAAGUGGGGAUGACGUCAAAUCAGCACGGCCCUUACGUCCAGGGCUACACACGUGCUACAAUGGCCGGUACAAAGGGCAGCUACCUGGUGACAGGAUGCUAAUCUCAAAAGCCGGUCUCAGUUCGGAUCGGAGUCUGCAACCCGACUCCGUGAAGUUGGAUUCGCUAGUAAUCGCGCAUCAGCCAUGGCGCGGUGAAUACGUUCCCGGGCCUU
rnacentral:rRNA from 1 species